AUGGGGGCAAGCAGGGCGCGGGGCGCAGAGCGGCUGGCUCGCGCCUGGAUCUCGGGGCAGGCGGGCAGCUGGCCAGGUCCCGGCGCCUCCUGCCCGAACCACGUGGGCUGCGCCCCGCUCCGCCCAGCUCCGGGAGCGCGGACACUUCUGGAUGCCCUGCCAGGCCGAGGGCGGGACGUUCACCUGGGGCGCCCGCGCGGGAAGCGCCAGUGCGGGGGAGAGCCCCGGAUACUCGCCCCCAGGAGAGCGCUAUUUACUUCGGCUUUACAGAUGGGGAAACUGAGGCUCAGAAACGCGCCCUACCAAAGCCACCGACCAGCAUCAGGACCAGGAGGGUCCCGCAGCCGCGGGCAACCCCGCUGCGGAGAGGAGACCCAGGCCUUGCCCGCCAAGAAAAAGUCAAGAUCCGUGGGCAAAUGGGGCAGAUGUGGACGCCAGGACGCGCGGCGCGGGGGUGCCAGGACCGAGGACGCGCUGCGGGGGACGCCUGGGAGCUCCGCGCCGCUGCGCUCUCCUCCUGGACUCUAG
rnacentral:lncRNA from 1 species